rnacentral:snoRNA from 1 species
CACCGUGAUGAUAAAUGUACAACAGGGAUUCCUCAAUCUUAAUACACCAUGUAGAGUUUGUAACUAGUUUCAGCCUUGUCUGAUU